UCUUCGGAGUUAAAGGAUUGCAAACGUAUUAAGAUAUGCAGCAAGUGGGAAAUGUGGAUCCUGGACCGACGGUUGGUACACAGUUGACGCGGCAGCCGGUUCAUCGAUCCACGCUACUUUGGGAGACGCCAGCCGGUCAGUGCCAGGCGUGUUAAACUGCAGACGCCGAAGUUGCAAGUUACCCGAGCAUGGGCUUGACCCACGGAUUGCUCGGUACAUAAAUGAGGCGGGUUUUGAAGGGUUAUUCAAGGUUCCAAACAUGGAAGUGGAUCAUGCGUUGAUCACAGCUCUAGUUGAGCGUUGGCGUCCGGAGACGCACACAUUCCACCUACCGCAUGGAGAGAUGAGCAUCACCUUACAAGAUAUUGAGGUGAUGCUAGGGGUUCCUGUUGAUGGGUUGCCAAUUACUGGGGCUGUGAAGAUGGAGUGGCCUACAUUGUGUCUUGAGUUAUUGGGUCAUCGUCCACCAGACCCGAUACCGCAUCCGCAUGAGAACACCUUUAUCCUUGCU